GGGCGGCUCGCCGGGCUGGACUUGAGGCUGGGCCGCCCUCGGUCCCACCUCCUGCCGGCUGAGGAGCGAAGCCUUCAGUCCUCGGGGGCCGCCCGGGCCCCUUCUCCGCGGGAUGUGGGACUGCGGUGCUCCCCGAAGGGCCUCUGUGCCCCCUCCUGCCCAGGGAUGACUCUGGUGUCUGACAACGUUUGUCGCCAGCAAAGACGUCCAGUCUGGAUCCUACAUGCUGCUUUUCCUGACCUUUUCCUCAGGCCCACCACUGAUGGGGACAGACUCCAGGUCUCAUGUGGGGUGCUGGGCCUGCGGUGCGGCACGCCGGCGUGCUGGAACGUGUAAGGCAAGCGGAGGAACAUAGGGUCCAAUAUCGCCUCAACUCCUUGAUGAAUUGAAUUAAAUGUACCAGAUGACAACACACGAGGAUUUUGUUUUCCUAAUAACUUCUUACUGGUGAAAAACAACACAAAACCCAAACUCCAUAAGAGAAAAGACUGAUGAAUUUGGCUGCAUGACUAUCAAGUGUUUCUCCAUGAUAAAAAAAAAAUCAGGCUGGGCGCGGUGGCUCACGGCUGUAAUCCCAGCACUCUGGGAG